AAAAAAAGACUUAUUUUUGGUGUCUGCGCAGGGCAAAUCGAUUUACCUAAUUGGGUAAAUCGAUUUCCCUAUUUUUUUUUUUUUUAAAUUCAUGCCUUGAGCCCAUGCAAUAUGUCUUUGGUUAUGAAUGUUAAUAUAAUUAUGAUGAUGAAAUAAUGAAAGCAUGCAUGUGCAGUAGGGCCAUGGAUCAGAUGAAAGUUG
rnacentral:lncRNA from 1 species